AGGGCUCCAAGGAACAUUCAGGUGCCAGUGUCUAAGGUGUCCUGUUCCAAAUGCCUGGAGCGGCGCCCUGGAGUCUGCAGUCGUCCUCCACCCGCAGCCCCUCCGACCCCAGGACAGCAGGGCCUCGAAGACCACCCCCACCAGGUCACCUGACCUACCCAGGGCAGUCACCUCCAGGGAACCAAUGCCCUCGACCCAUCAGGACCCAUCCUGAGGUGGCAGCAACCGGACCCCGGCUUGACCAGGAUCCCCUACGCUGCCAGCUGUGCAAACCCCACCCUUCCCCGGCCAGCCCCUUUUCAGCACAACCCCAAAGCUCCUGCACCCCGAAGCCAGGCCCGGAGCUGCUCCAUCGGUCCCCGACCCAGCUCAGCCUCUGAGGUGACCUCUGUGAGUACUACAUGAGCAGAUUCCCAGGAAGCCAAGAGGCCUGUGGGCUCAGGUCGCCCCUCCUGACAUCCAGAAGCAGACCCAGCAUGGCCAGUCACCACCUGUCCUUCAGUCCGCAGCAAGGGCCUAGUCCGGGCCAGGGGGAGGCGGGCCUGGCAGCCAGUCCUGCUGUUGGGGCCACAGCCAUGGCCCAGGCUGGCUCGACCACCUGCCCUGAGUGCUGGGUCACAACCUUGACACCUGCUCCAGGACCUGUGUCGCAGGGCUCUGGUUUCUGUCUCCACACUGGCUAGUGCUGGGACACAGCAUGUGUCUUCCCCAGGGGCAGUGGCUAAACUCUCCAGGGGCAGCCUGGGUGUUUAGAAUCUCAUCAGGCAUUAACAGCAGUGCUGAGAUGUUUGAUGCAGAGCUCAGCAGGGGCCAUGUUAUGCCUUGUUUGAAGUUGGUGAGCCUUUUGGAGUUUCCAGUUAAGCUAAUGGGAGGCAUUGCUGUCCUAAGCCAGAGAGGUGCCUGUAGGUGCUGUGACCACCUGGAGCCGCUGUCUCUGUAAUGGCUUCCUUACCGCUGGCCAGGGAGGCGGCAGACGGAUGGGGAAGCCAGGCUCUCCCCAGCCCUGCUCACAGGCUCGCAUCCUGCUAGUGUGUGGUUUGUGCGACCCCCUCCGACACACUGGACCCGCCCCAUUUCCCAGGUACUUCGUGUCCCCAAACCUGAGGGUGCACAGUCAGCCUCACACCUUCAAAUUCUGGACCCUCAGAUCCAGGAUGAAAAUUCUGCAGAGCCAAAGCCAGCUGUCACCGGCAGUGUGGCUCUGGCUUCCCCAGUCACAGGAAGCUGGAGAAGGCGCCUUUUGCCACUGUGGGCCCUGGGGCCCUGAAGGAAGAGGCCUUCUGUGGAGCCCCAUCCAGUCCCCAGGAGUCUUGUCCUCCUAACAGCACCCGUCAAAGAGCAGGCAGUAAGCGCUAUGUCCUUCACUUCCCUGUGCUGUGUCCCAAGUUCAAAGCCCAAGGUGACCUAUCCCAGGCUGCCGGUGAGCCCUUCUGCCAUCUAGUGGUGGAAGGAAGAACUCCCUUUUCGCUGGCCCGGCGGGGCCUCUGGGGUUGGUUACCUCAGCCAUCUCUGUCCUCAGGGUCUUGGAAGGUGGUGACCCUGGUCCUCACUCUCGGGCCUUGAGGAACAGUGCCGGGUAAGCCCUGUGCCUGAGGCUGGGGAGCCUCUGGUCAGUGGUGCCUGUCGCACUGGUGCUGGGCUUCCUGGGCCCUGGGAAGGAUGCGGCUUUGUGGGGACCCUGGAAGUGGUGCCUGACUCUGCCAGACUCUCUGUCUGUGCCCCAGGGAAGCGACAUGCAGCUCCCAGGACUUUGUUUCCUUCAUCGGUAAAAUAGGAAUUUAAAAACCGGCACUAAACGUCUGCUCUCAAGGAUCACUGUGAGGAUGAAACGGCAGCUCCAGUAUGGCCCAGCCAGGUGUGGACAGGAGGCUUCUGGACAUGAAGAUGUGAACACACUGUGUGGUCUGCAAGCCUGGUGUGCACACGGCUGCUGGCUGACACGCCUGUCCCAGCCACAGCCCCAUGGCAUGCUUGUCUCCAGGCAUGAGUCCAAGCUGGCUCCAUCUUUCAGCACUGGACCCUAGAGAGCAUCCAGUCUUCUUCAAACCUCUGUUUCCCCAUCUGCAAAAUGGCAGUCUCAGGGCCUCCACCCUGCACCUCAAAUUCUGAGGGCCUGAUGCAUUUCUGAGUUCCCAACUUUUGGAUUUUUAGAAAAGUAAUAGAGUGUGGGUGUUACUUCAUAUGUAACACUAUGUUAUGGAUUAGCUCCAAAAUGUACCCCAAAAGUCAUAUGGGUGGAAGGUGACUGCAUCAUGGAUUCACUCACUGGUGACCUCAGGGCUGAGUGUGCUGUUAGGCGUGGGCCUGGCUGACGCUGGUCCCUGGGGUCUCUCUGCUUCCUGGGUGCAGCUGUCCUCUGCUGGGCCUUCCACCAAACCUUUCUGCUGUGGAGCUGGUAGACCAUGGACAGAACCCACUGAGACUGUGAGCUAAGUAAACCUGUCCUCCCCUAGGCUGUGGGUGCUGGUAUUGUAUUCCAGCAAUGGAACGUGACCGAGACACACCACUAGUCCUGCGUCAAACUUACCAACAUUUCUCCAGCAAAUCUAUGAAUGUCCAAAUUAAGCAGAUUACGUAAAACCACGAGUAAAUUCAUGCUAGCUGAGGUCAGGUUUUGCCACCAAAUGAAGUAAUUGUUUUAAGUUGCUGUGUUCAGAACAUUGUGCGUGAAGAACUAGAGAUGUGAGUAGCCGUCCAGUGCCACCUCCCUCAUGGGAAGACAGGAGUCCUGUGCCUGUGGAGGGUGCUGCAGGGACAUGGCUUUACAACACUGGCUGCCAUGCACAGCUUUUCAUGGUGGCUCUGAGCCAGGAGCCAUUUUCCUUAUGAUUGGUGUAUGUUUGUGGUACAUAAAAGUUCCGUAUAUGUGCCCCUCUCUCUUCCCUGGGUCCCUGUCCCCUUCUCCACAAAGUCUGCCUCCCCGUUUCCUACCAUCUCUUUUAUUUUGCUCUUUAGAUUAUUUAUAUUUUGGGUUUCUCAGAGAUGAGAAACUGAUAUUUAACCCCUGUCUGAUUUCUUUCACUUAGCAUGAUGGUCUCAAGAUGCACCCAUUCUGUUAAUGACUCACAUCUGUCCUGCUUCUCAGCUGAGUUGUACUCCAUCGUGUGUGCAGCAUACACCACUUUUUUUUGGUACUGGGAAUUGAACUCAGUUCCUUGCACUUGCACAGCAGGCAGCAGAACCACUGAGCUAAAUCCCCGGCCCUACGCCACAUUUUAAUGCCCAUAGUGAAGAGGGGAACAGAGGCCCAGGGCAGUUGAGUAGCUGCUCAUUGUACAUAGCUCUAAAUGACCAGCUGGCCCUCAAUGUCCUAGCCUGGCAGCAUCCACCCAUUAUGUGCUUGUCACUAAGCUGGGAAGGAGAAGUGGCAACUCAGGCCUCUGACUCCUUUCUUUGUUUGCUUGCGGUCACACUCUGGGCAGGUGCUCACCACUGAAAUGGACUCCAGCCAGGCCUGGACUUUGACUCUGCCCUCUCAGCUCACCAGGCCUCUACUGGAGGGAGAUGUGAAAGAGAAAGUUAAAAGCGAGCACGUCUUUCUGGAAGUCUGGCUGGGCCUGCACUCAAUCUCCCAGCCCCGCUGUCCGCACUGCAGUGCUUGCUCUCCUCGGGCAGCGGCCUGACUGCCUGGCUGCUCCUGCUCUGUCCAGGCAGCCCAGCUGGUCAGAGAUCCCUGCAGGGCCCCGGCCCUCAGAGAGGUCACCCAGUCCCCCUUCCCAGCGGCCAGGUUGCCUGGCCAGUGUGGAUGUGGGGAGGAGCAGAGGUCUCCUGGAUGCUGUGGCUGCACAGACAUCUCCAGACUGCCAAGUUCUGCCUGCCUCCCGUGCAGCCAGCACCCGGCCAGCUGGAACUUUGUCAAGCAGCAAUGGAGGUCCGUUGGGCUUCGCCACAGUUCUGCAUGACCUAAAAUCCCUCCACACUUGGAUUUCAUGAUGUUUUAUGGAAUGUGCAGUGACCUUGUUUUCCACGUUUCGAACCAGAAAAUCUUUGGACUCAUGGGAACAUGGGUUUGGAGCCAGACAGACAGCCUGACAACAGGGCUGUGGAAGAACUCAAGGCCGGUGCUGGUCCAGGGAGGUAACCCCACUGCUUGGUCCUUGGCAGAAGGGCUGCAGGCAUCCCUAGGGUUAGGAAGAGCCAUGCUCCAGUCCCCAUCUGCCCAGUAUACGAUGCAGGCCUGAGAAAAAAGACGCUAAGAGACAGAACUAGAAGGGAAAGUGGGGGCCAGGAUGGCCAAUGCCGGUACAGCUGACAAAGAUGCUGGCCAGUCCCAGGCACUGAGUUUUACUGGCAAUCAGUUGAGUUAAAGGCGAGCUACAAAUAGUCUCUAUGGAAAUUAAUGUAAAAAAGGCUCAUAAAGGACAAGACAAACCAUUCUCGAAUUUAGGAACAUAAUAGACAAAAUAUAUGGUUGCAAUUAGAACAUUGUCCUUCUAGUCAGAAGGGUUUAGUUGUGGGAACGGAAUUUGGGUGUGAGUUACUCUGACCUCAGCACGUAGGCUUCAGCCAGACUCACUUCUAUAAACAAGCCAGCUGUGGGGUUAACUCUUCACAGCCUGCUUUGGGAAUAAUCAAUUUUAUGGUCCUCUGCACUCCAGGAGUGUUAGUUGUGCACAGGCUUAUCUUCUCACUGCUCUGAUAUGCACAUGAAGAUAGGUUUCAAGGCAAAAAGCUUUCCAUGAGGCUUAGCUGAAUAUUUUGAAGAGCAAAUCAAGACUCAGUCAGGUGUGUGAUGAUACAUGGAUAGGGCUACCAGCAGGGAAACUGACAGCCAGGAAGGCAGGAGCUCCCAUCAACGAAGCUCUCUAGAAUCCACAAGCUAAUGAAGUCAAGGCCAAUUGUCAGUUAGUCAGCAGGCAUAUCACCGCCAGCAUCCAGGGCAGUGGGUGCAACCACAGGUGACUGCUAAUGGGCAAAUUAGGGAACUUCACGGGCAGCAGUUCACAGAACUAGAUGGCAGGGAGACAGGGCUGCUGGAUCAAGGAGGUCCUGGGCACAGGGGUCCACAUGUGGGAUUUCUGGUGCAACUGAGAAACCCAAGGAGCCGGCUUCCUCUAGCUGCCAACUGCAGCAGCACGGUGCGUUCAUGAGCACACGGGCAUUCUUGUUUGCAGUGGCAUCACUGGUUGCUCUUGCCCUGUUUUCCUCACGCACCAGAGGAAGCACAGGGCCGAGGCUGGGCCAGAUGGUGCCACUUGUACAGGCUGGAGUUCCUCGUAGGACCACCUGCUUACCUUCAUGCUGCCCGACCCCACUGCAGCCCUGGGAACCCUCUGCUCCAUGAACUGACUUGACUCCACUCGGUAACUGAUCACUGGGCCCAAGUUCAUUGAUUUGUUAAACUAAAGGGUUUUUGUGGUGGUAUAUUUGAUUUCUAACCUUUUCCUUUGAAGAUUAGUGUGUAUAUGUGCAGGGGGAGAUUAAGAGACAAGUGCAUUUGCAUAUCUACACAUACAGCCAGUGUUCUGUGUCCCAGAUCCACAUCUGUGACUGAACCUGCUGUCUCCCUGCACUGUGCAGUUAGGGCCAUGAUGGCUGCACCUGUACAGGACAUGUCCAUACUUUCCUUCCUGCCAUUCCCCAAACAAUGCAGCAUAUCAGCUAUUUAGGUGGCGCUUACACUGCUGUAGGCAUCACAAGUCAUCUAGGGAUGAUUUAUACUGGGGUUGUACAAUAUUUUAUGGAAGGUACUAGAGCAUCCUCAGAUUUGGGCACCCAUAGGGGGCCCAGGGGCCCAUAUCUGUGGAUACUGAGGCAGGACCAUGCUUCAGUGAGGAGCCCAUGUUAGUGCACAGAGGAGAGGAGCAGCAGAAAGCACCGGGCAUCGAGGGGCCCUGCACCCACAGUGACUUUCUGUGUCCCUUCACCAGGGUCCCCUUUCCUCUUUGAGUUUUGAAUCCCUCCACUGGAGGGUAGAGAAGAUGAUUUCACCCUGCUCUGGGCUCCGCUCAGCUCUGAUCUCCUGCUCUGGGCUGGGACACCUGUGUUGUCACCUGCCUCCUCUGCUCACCCUGCAGGAAAUACACUCGAGAAGGACACUUGGCAUGAGAAUGUGCCUGAGGGAGGCAGUCUUGCUCUUCCUGACACUGCUUUCCUGGGAGGCCAAAGUCCACUGGAUUGGCAAAGACCCCUAAACACUGUCCUGAGAAAUGCCAGGGCAACCCUGUGCCCUACACUUCUUCCAUGAAGGACCAGUCCCAGCUGCAGAAGGGCCAGGGCAAGGUGGUCAAGAAGACUGUCCAGGGCAUUCAUCAGAGGUCACCUUGACCACUCAAUGUGCAGCUCCUCAGGGCAGAGAGGGCACAGCUGUGGCAGCUAAAGCAGAGGGCACAUUAUACUCGGGCCCCUUCCGCCUCUGCUUCCCAUACCCUGCCCAUACCUGGCUUUGUUUCCUAGUCUCCCUCCAUGCGCCCACCCUCCUCUUGAGCAGAAUUCCAGCAUUUUCCAGUGCUCUUGUUCCUUCAGUGAGACUGGCAGCAUCACUCAGACAAAUCUGCCUGCUCAGUCUCUUUGGCCAGGGUUGAGUUGCUCCCGCUGGCCACUCCAUGUGCCUUAUACAUUUCCUCUCUUCACAGAACCAGGAGCUUCUGGAAAGCCUGAACUCAGGGAUGCUGUGAGACUUCUCAGGGCACAUUCUUUUCCUUAAAUUCCUUUAUUGGUACAUUUUAGGUAAACAAUACAGUUACAUUCAUCAUUGGGAUCUUGCACCUAUACAUGAUGCAUCUCGGUUCUUAUUUUUCCCCUCUCCCCUGCCCUCCCUUCACCCCCUCCACCCUUCUCUAUUUACAGAGACUUUGUUUCCAUUUUUUCCUUUUCUCAUAUUUUUUCCUUUCCCUUUUUUCCUUUCCCCUACCCCUCCCACUUCCCCUACUCCUUUAGACCUUUUCUUCCUAUUGCACAUUAUCAAUUAUUCAUUUUAAUCCUUAUUUACACUUUCAGUUUCUCACACCAGAGAAACUAUUUGGUAUUUACACAUGUGUGUCCUAUUUAUUUCACUUAAUAGUAUCACCUCAAUGUGGAUCCAUUUAGCUAUAAAUGUCUCUAGUUUGUCAUUCUUUAUGGCUGAGUAGUACUCCAUUUUAUUUUUUAAAAACCCCACAUCUUCUUUAUCCAGUCUCUAGUUGAUGGGCACAUGGGCUAUUUCGAAGCUUUAGCUAUUACAAACUGCUGCUAUAAACAUGGGUAUGCAUAUAUUGCUGUGGUAUGAUUCUUUUAAUUCUUUUGGGAAAAUACCCAGCAGAGGAAUAGCUGGGUCAAAUGGGACCUCUAGCCCUAGUUCUUUGAGGUAUCUCCAUACUGAUUUCCAUAGUGGCUGCACCAGUCUGCACUCCCACCAGCAAUGGAGAAGGGUUCCUUUCUCUCCACACCCCGCCAGCAUUUGUUAUUGGUUGAUUUCUUGAUAGCAGCCAUUCUUUGUGGGGUGAGGUGGAAUCUCAGCAUUGUUUUCAUCUGCAUCUCUCGAAUGACCAGUGAUGUUGAACAUUUUUUCAUAUGUUUCUUUGCUGCUUUUACUUCUUUGAGAAAUGUCUGUUUAUUUCAGACAUUAUUUCUGUUUUAUUUCAUUUUUUGGAUUGGGUCUUUAUAUCUGGGGGGUCUGAUUUUUUUUUAGUUCUUUAUGUAUUCUAGAUAGUAGUCCUUUGUUUGAGGUACAGCUGCUAAAAUUUUUUCCCCACAUUGUAGGUUGUCUCUUAGCUCUGUUGGUGGUUUCUUUUGCAGUGCAGAAGAUUUUAAUAAGAUGAGAUCCCAGUUGUCGAUUCUUUGUGCUAGCUCCCAUGCUACUGAGGUUUUGUUCAUAAAGUCUUUUCCUAUGCCAAUGUCUUUGAGAGUUCUACCUAACUUAUCUUCCAGCAAGUUUAGUGUUUCUGUUUUAAUAUUUAGAUCUUUAAUCCACUUCGAUCUUAGUUUAGUGCAUGGUGAUAGGUAUGGGUCUAGUAUGUAUGAUAGGUAUGUCACUCUUUUUGUUUUAUAUAAUAGAAAAUGAAUGUCUAUUUGGCAAAAAAUUUUCCCAAUGAUUAUUAAGCUUUUUUGUUCUUUUUUGUUGUUGUUGCUUUUUAGGCAGGGUCUCUCUUUGUAGUUCAGGCUGGCCUUGAACUCACUGUGCAGCCCAGGCUGUCUCAAACUUGUGGCAAUCCUCCUGCCUCAGCCUCCCGAGUGCUGGGACUACAGGAGUGCACCACCACACCCAGCUUUAAGCUUUUUUUUAUUCUUAAAAUCAGCCUGGGGCCAGGGAUUUAGCUCAGUGGUUCCCUGCCUGCCUUGCAAGCGGAAGGACCCGAGUUCGAUUCCCGGCACCAAAAAAAAAAAAAAAAAAAAAAAAGCAGCCUGAACCUGUGUUACCUAAGAUAAAGAACAACUUUCUACCUCCAUGUGAUGAGAUCAGGGAUGAGGUUAAAGGUGCAGAUGGCCUGGUGUCUCUGUAACUCAUGUGACCCUGUGAAGGGGGUGGGAGGCUGUGUCUUGCACCAAGCAGUUCCCUUCCUGGAUUUGUCGUUUGCUUCCUUGUUAAAUUCUGCACAGUGUGAACGUGUUGCUUUCUCUAUUUGACCCUUUAGCCUGGGAGGGUCCCAGCCUGUGGGUAACAGUGCUGAGGUGGGAUGGGAGAAACGAAGACAGGUGGAGAACGGGCAAAGAGAGGUGAAACUUUAAAAUUGUGUUGCUAGAAAAACUCAGCUUCAGGACACAAGUCACUCGGCACACUCAAAAAUACUUCUUCUUUCCCCUAAGGGUUGUAGGGAAGGUUGAGGGACAGGCAGGGAAAGUUAAAGGGCUUCAGCGAGGUUUCUGGCAAAUAAAGAGUUAAAGCCCUGCUAGAGACAGUAGCUAAGAAAAACAAACAGAGCUGAUGAGGCUCCUGGCUCACUUAAGGGCAAGGCUCAAUUCCUGCACCUCUGUAUAAGUACAUACAUAUUUUGUUAUUUUCUCACCAUAUUAAUACACUAAAAUGCACAGGUAUCCUUUUUACUAACUCAGCCUUAAAUGUAAUUGUGCUGCAAGUCUCACAAGAUAAACACCCGGACAACACAAAGGGACCGCAGAAGUGCUUGUUCCAGAAUGUAUACAUGGGCAACAGCGAGGGCCAUGGCCGAGUCAGAGGUCUCAGAGCCCAGAACAGCCAGUGAAGUUACGACAGCUCUCAAGGGACACGGUCCGUUUCUUGCCAUGUAAUCAGAGGCUACGAACAAAGACCCCUUGAGUUCUGGCUCUGGGCUCCCUAACUUACUCCAACAAAGUAGCUAUCUAUCGCUUUAUUUCUCUCCCUCUCUCCAAUCAAGUAAUUUUGUUUCCCCUUUUCCCUUCCUUUCCUAAUAAAGUGAUUUUGUCUCUCCUUCAGAACAUAUAUCUCUAAUUCUUUUUUUGUGUGUAUGUUGUUUUACAAACCCUAGGUAAAAAUCUACCCUCAGGAGCUGUAACAGGGUGAGGGCCUAAGGCACCUGGGCUCAACUUUUCUCCCAUGAAUUAUACUUCCUGCCACAGAAAUCUGGAAGCUGCGAUACACACAGACGUCAGCCUUCUAACUUAGCCUGGCCGGCACGGAAAUGAAGUCCUAGGUCCCCCACCUUGAGGACACCCGACUCCAUGGGAACUCCACCCCAGACCAAGAUGCAUCUCUGUCCCAAGGCUUGUCCUCCAUUCUCUGAGAGGGGACUGUUUUAAUUUUGCCUAAUAAACCUCUUCACUCCUCUUGCUGAUGAAUCUUGAAAAUACUUUUUCUGCGAUGGAAGUCAGCGAACUUUCAACCUGUUGCAUGGGUGUGGUGAGUCCCAAUUCCCAUCUUCAGUUUGGGGACUUGGACCCUGUCCAGUGACACCUGGUGCUAGCUGUUUACUGAGCUUGGGUUUUAUUUUGUGGAAUGGCUGGAGGAUGCAGGCAUGUGUCCCCUCCAAUACUUACUGGCUGUCUUCCUAGUGGGUUUUGGUUCCUCAGCCAUGAAAAAGUGUAGCCUGAAUAAAAUCCAGCACUGCUGUGGUCCAGGACCACAGGGCCAUGCACAAGGACAGCAGCCUGGGGGAAAUUCCAUGCAUCAGCCUGUAGCCUGUUGGUUGGACACACCUGUGUCAAAGUAAAAAUGCCUUAAAAAAGGAAGCUUGUUGCUUAUACACAUUAACUAUAUUAUGUAUUUUAUACGAAGCACAAGGCAAUUCCUUGUCCCCUCCUGUGGCCCAGGCAGGCCAGGCCUAUCCCACCACAAGCUGCUCCAUUCUGACAAGACUGGACGACAGUUGCAUGUAGAUACCUGAGGUUCCCGACUGAAAAUCCACUGAUUCGUACAGGGAACACUCUUAAGUUAUCUUGUUACUGAAAAAUAUCACAAUAGUUGCAGCAUCAUCCAGAUUGAAAGAGAAAUACCUCUUGCACAGUUUCUCUCCUUCUCAACCCUAAAGAUUCUGAGAUUUGAGUCUUAUAAAGGCUGCUAAUUCAUAUAAGCGAGAAGAAAAGCACAAAGCUGCUUCUUGCUUGCAGAAUGCUGCUGAUCGAGGGGACCUGUCUCUGGGCCGACGAACCUGCCCUCACCAGCAUGGCGCAGUCGCAGCUGAAGAGAAGAAGUGGCGCCACGGGCAUCCACACACUCGCAGAGUGCACACCGUGGGCCAAGCCGAGAGGUGCCUCAGUGCUAACAGAAUUCUGCACAGGGUUAGAUGCGAGCCUUACCAACAGCUAGAAACCAUACACUAUGACACGGAUUACCUUUUUAGCUAUUUUAUUUUAUUAUUAUUAUUUUUUUGAGAUGGGGUCUUGCUACAUAGCCCAGGCUGGCUUUGAACUCACGGAGAUCCUCCUACCUCCCUAGUCUUGGGAUUCUAAGUGUGCAUUACACACCUGGCUCUUUUUAGUCUAUUUUAACUCUUGAUCAGUAAGCUUAUAAAACUGUGUUUCAACCAGCUUUGAACCAUCAUAUACCAUAAUUUUUUAUCUGAAUGAAAUUAUUAAGGCAGAUAUUCAUAAUAUAAUUAAACAGAAACACUAUGAAGUUCUGGUUUUUUUUGGUUUUUUUCAGUACUGAGAAUUGAACCCAGGGCCUUCACACUGAGCUACAUCCCAGCCCCUUUUACUUUUUUUUUUUUUUGGUACUGGGAGUCUAACUCGGGACCUUGUGCUUGUGGGGCAGGCCGCAGAACCACUGAGCUAAAUCCGGCCCCUUUUUUAAUUUUUAUUUUGAGACAGGCUCUUGCUAAGUCACCAAGUCGCCCAGGUUGGGUUCAAAUUUGUGGUCCUUCUGCCUCAGCCUCCCAGAGUGCUGGGAUCACACGUGUGCCCCACCCCACCCAGCUUAGUGUUCUUCUAGCCUUAAUAUUCUUUCCCCUCAUCCUUCUCCUUAAUUUGCUUGUCAUCACAAUGAAAUGUGUUUG
rnacentral:lncRNA from 1 species